rnacentral:misc_RNA from 1 species
ACCAAGUUUCCCAAGUCUUUAUGACGUGAGCUCUAAUUGUCGAUGGGUCCUGACGGUUCCGGCCGGACGGGUACAGGUGGAGAUCAUUUACAGCGACAUCGAGACUUCCGCUAACUGUGCUUUUGAUUCCUUAGAAAUUUAUGAUGGUGACUACGUGUGUGAAAACACUAAAAUAGCCGCGGUUUGUUCCCGCUACCCAAGCGGCAUCACCGGAACUUACCUCAGUAACGGCACCAGCUUCCUGCUCAAGUUUAAAUCCGACGGCUCGGUGAGCUUUACCGGGUACCUCAUCAAAUUCAUCCAGGUGGAGGAAGCUGUGUCAUCAAAUCCACUGACGUCAUCAGAUGAUCAGCUGAUGUUAGGAAUUGGAAUAGGAUGUGCUUGUGGUGCUACGGCAACGCUUAUUCUAGUGUUCAUUGUGUCUUUCUUCAAAUCAAAAUGUCGCUCGCCAAAAAUAGCGUCCCCUCGAGUCAAGACGGUUGAGCCAAUGAAUGGUGGACCCCAUAUGAGAACACCGUCCGUCAACGGGUCUGUUGAUUCUUCAGAUUCCAUUAGCCAUUCCAGGAACGGAUUUAUCCGUCGACCAUUGACGACAAGCAGACGAUCGAGUAUGAUUGACGGGAAAUCGAAUGGGUUUCUACCAUGAUGCAUCACUGGGCCUCGCCUUUGAAAGCGCAAGUAUCGUUCAGUUGAACACUGCAACUGAAAUGAAAAGGUAGUCACAUACAGUGUUAUGUCACGCCUUGUCGCGAAGCAAGUUGUGCCAGCCACAAAGGGGAUGCUAGAGAUACAAACACCAGACAAUCUCCAAGACCAUUUGAUCCGACUGAGAGGUAUCGCUGUUAAAGAUAGUACGGGAUUGAUGCAAUACGCUAUUAACUGUUAAAAACUAUUCACAUUCUCAUACAUAUAGAGUACUAAUAUUACAUUUGAUAUUCUGUAUACAUGUAUUUUCUUAAAAUUCGGUCAUGAAUUACUAUAUUGAACUACUCCUUAUAUAUGUUCAGAAUCGUGAAAUGUGAAUGUGAUUUUUUUUUUCAUGAAUUAAAUUGAAAAUAAUUUACAUUUUGAAAUAAACCCAUUCAUUUUGAUGAGAACGAAUAGAUGUGUCAUUCAUAAUUUUGAUAGCUUGAUGGAUUGCAGGCGUUGGGUCUUUACCUGUUUAGUAAUCGCUUCACAUAGUCCCCCUUUUGGUGAGAGAUUGUGCAGUUCAACCUCUCUAGAAGACCAUCGAUUUCGGAAAUCAGCGAAGAUGAUUGAUUCACGACAGCUUUUGGGAGAAGUUGCACAUGAGUCGCACAAUAUGCCGACAGCUUGCUUUCUUUGAUUCUGGAAUGAUAUGCCAACAUUUCGGUCGCGGUACCGUACUUGUUGAUGAAUGUGAGUUUUGUGCUUGCAGCUGCCGCCGAAGAGCACAUUCGAGAAGAAACCCUUUCUCUCUCUUUUAAACGUUUCUUUUCUUCGUCAAAUACUUCGUCAACACUCUGAAUCAAAGUCUUUUCUCUCUUUUCCAAAAUUUGUCGAAUCUCUAAGAAUAGGUUUCUUAUUUCGUUUUUGAUUCGGUCUUUCUCUUUUUCUAAGUAAUCCAGUACGAGGAGACACUGUUUAUGAUACUCAGCAUGAAAACGUCUUAGAAAUUUCGAGGUUGUCUUAAUGUCACCCGCUGACUGGGUUAAUGCUUUUUGACAGGGUAGACACCAAUGACCCUUGUGUUCCGAAAUCACACAAUCACCACACGCAAGUCUCUUGCACGUCAUGCAAAACUGAGCGAGGCUCAAACCAUGCAACUGGCAAAGAGGCGAGAUAGAUUUUCUCUUUUCGAAGCCAUGUUCAAGAACAGACGCAAACGAUACGAUUUCAUGUGUGUUGCCGUCGCCUUCCUGGUGACUUUUUGAGCAUUUCGAACAAUAGGAGUCCUGACAAUUAAAGCAGUAGUUGGCAGCACAAUUCUCGGCACAGCCAAAACAAGCAUCUUUUAGUUUUCUCUCCGUCCGAAUGACAUCACAAAAUGUUUGAGUGAAACUGUCCGUAUUGACCCCGCUACCAUUUUGCUCAAAGUUACAAAUAGAACAGACAUACUUUUCGUUUGGUUUAGACACACAUUUAAAACAGUACGUGUGAAAGCAAGCGAGCGUUACUGGCUCCUCAAACAUUUUGCCACACGCUGGACAAAGAGUGAAUUCGCUUGACAUCCUUUAAAUUCCUUGUUUUUGGUAUUACACCGGGUAAAUUUAAGUAUUAUCGACACAUUGACACGAUUGUCUUGUUAUCUUAUCAUGAACGGACUUUGAAGGGCAAUGUAUGGUGACAUGUACGAAGAAAUAAUAAAGACGUUGUAUCGAUAUCCAUAAUCGGUAUUCUUUUCAUGGAUGUUCCAAAUCAAGUUAAUUAUUCUGUUUUUAGAGAGAAACAACGAAAGCAUUUCAUUUGUAUUAAAAAUUACAAAAACGCCUGAAUUGGUGCAAACAUGUUUGUUCGGUAACAGUCUUAUAUAUAUAUUGGUUAUGUUUUUGCUUUACUAUUCAAUUGCUGAUUUAGAGGACCAACUAUAAGAAUAUCAACCAUUCGAAAAAAUAAUUUAAACAUUUAACAACGUAUUUUAGUAAUAUGAACUAUAGUUCUUCGUUUGGCACAUUCUAUUUAUCAUAGCUAAUGUUGUAGCUCAUGAUGCCAUUGUUGUUUCAAGUUGUUUUAACUUCCCUAAAAUUUAUGAUGGGAACAAUCGCAUUUAUAAAGUUAUGAACGCAAUUGUAUGGAAUAUACAUGUAGAGUGAAAGUACAUUUCAAAUGAUAUGUUUGUAUUUUUGGCAUUUUAAAUAUUUGAAUAUAAAGCAUAACAGCAUAAGUUCUAC